GCAAACUUGGUCAUUUAGAGGAAGUAAAAGUCGUAACAAGGUUUCCGUAGGUGAACCUGCGGAAGGAUCAUUACAAUAUACACAUCAGGGGGUGGGCGUCGCCUGCCCUGCCUGACUAUAUACCCUUGAUUUUUUGCGUACCAACUGUUUCCUCGGUGGGCUUGCCCACCAGCAGGACAUGACCAAACCACUUUGCAAUUGCAGUCAGCGUCAGAAAAACUUAAUAGUUACAACUUUCAACAACGGAUCUCUUGGUUCUGGCAUCGAUGAAGAACGCAGC
rnacentral:misc_RNA from 1 species